CCUACGGGUGGCAGCAGUGAGGAAUAUUGGUCAAUGGGAGAGAUCCUGAACCAGCCAAGCCGCGUGAGGGAAGACGGCCCUAUGGGUUGUAAACCUCUUUUGUCGGAGAACAAAACCCGGGACGUGUCCCGGACUGCGUGUAUCCGAAGAAAAAGCAUCGGCUAACUCCGUGCCAGCAGCCGCGGUAAUACGGAGGAUGCGAGCGUUAUCCGGAUGUAUUGGGUUUAAAGGGUGCGUAGGCGGUCCGUUAAGUCAGCGGUAAAAUUGCGGGGCUCAACCCCGUCGAGCCGUUGAAACUGGGAGACUUGAGUUGGCGAGAAGUACGCGGAAUGCGCGGUGUAGCGGUGAAAUGCAUAGAUAUCGCGCAGAACUCCGAUUGCGAAGGCAGCAUACCGGCGCCAGACUGACGCUGAGGCACGAAAGCGUGGGGAUCGAACAGGAUUAGAUACCCGAGUAGUC
rnacentral:rRNA from 1 species